rnacentral:rRNA from 1 species
GACGAACGCUGGCGGCGUGCUUAACACAUGCAAGUCGAACGGAAAGGCCUCUUUCGGGGGGUACUCGAGUGGCGAACGGGUGAGUAACACGUGAGUAACCUGCCCUUGACUUUGGGAUAACUUCAGGAAACUGGGGCUAAUACCGGAUAGGAGCUCCUGCUGCAUGGUGGGGGUUGGAAAGUUUCGGCGGUUGGGGAUGGACUCGCGGCUUAUCAGCUUGUUGGUGGGGUAGUGGCUUACCAAGGCUUUGACGGGUAGCCGGCCUGAGAGGGUGACCGGCCACAUUGGGACUGAGAUACGGCCCAGACGCCGACGGGAGGCAGCAGUGGGGAAUAUUGCACAAGGGGUGGAAGCCGGAUGCAGCAACGCCGUGUGCGGGAGGACGGCCUUCGGGUUGCAAACCGCUUUCGCUCAUGACGAAGCUUUGUGUGACGGUAGUGGGUAAAGAAGCACCGGCUAACUACGUG